rnacentral:rRNA from 1 species
CCACGGGUCGCUGCAGUGGGGAAUAUUGCACAAUGGAGGAAAUUCUGAUGCAGCAACGCCGCGUGGAGGAUGACACUUUUCGGAGCGUAAACUCCUUUUAUAUAGGAAGAAGAUGACGGUACUAUAUGAAUAAGCGCCGGCUAACUCCGUGCCAGCAGCCGCGGUAAUACGGAGGGCGCAAGCGUUACUCGGAAUCACUGGGCGUAAAGAGCGUGUAGGCGGAUUAAAAAGUCAGAAGUGAAAUCCUAUAGCUUAACUAUAGAACUGCUUCUGAAACUCUUAAUCUAGAAUAUGGGAGAGGUAGAUGGAAUUUCUGGUGUAGGGGUAAUAUCCGUAGAGAUCAGAAGGAAUACCGAUUGCGAAGGCGAUCUACUAGAACAUUAUUGACGCUGAGACGCGAAAGCGUGGGGAGCAAACAGGAUUAGAUACCCCGGUAGUC